rnacentral:rRNA from 1 species
AUUGAACGCUGGCGGCAGGCCUAACACAUGCAAGUCGAACGAGUGGCGGACGGGUGAGUAAUGUCUGGGAAACUGCCCGAUGGAGGGGGAUAACUACUGGAAACGGUAGCUAAUACCGCCUACCAUCGGAUGUGCCCAGAUGGGAUUAGCUUGUAGGUGAGGUAACGGCUCACCUAGGCGACGAUCCCUAGCUGGUCUGAGAGGAUGACAAGCCACACGUGAACUGAUACACGGGCCAGACUCCUACGGUAGGCAGCCGUGGGGAAUCUUGCACAAGUGGCGCAAGCCUGAUUCAGCCAUGCCGUGUGUAUGAAGAAGGCCUUCGGGUUGUAAAGUACUGUCAGCGGGGAGGCGUUACCCGCAGACGAAGCACCGGCUAACUCCGUGCCAGCAGCCGCGGUAAUAC